GACUUAGCCUGCGCAGAACAAGGCUCCUUAUCUGCCUUUGUCAAAUUUUAACUCUCUGAAAAUUGAUGGCAGUGACGAUGAAGAUGACGAAUAUCUCGACUAUCAAGACGAUUAUGACGAUUCGCCGAACGAAUUGUCCAGUGAGGAAAAUCUGUACAGUGGCAACCUGAGUCCCAGUGACGUCUGCAAUUUCGGCGAGUCCUAUGCCAAGUACAAGGCCAAAGUCAAAAGUGAAUAUGACUCUUCAUGCAGUGUUGAAGAUGAUCAGUCACAAGAUUAGAACAUUUAAAUAAAUUGUAUUUUAUAAGAGAAUGAAUGAGGUUAUUUAUAUUGUCUUUGUUCAAGAUGAUUAUUAUAGAAUUAUCAACAAUGUAUUGACAAUAUUAUGGUAAAUAAAUCAACAGAAGAUGAA